GAGAGAUGGAAUCGACUCACCUGACUGAAUGGCUUUUGGCUGUUGUGCUCAUGGCUACUGCCUGUUUUCUUCUGUUGAGUUUUUUCUUCAUAUGUCGAAUCUUCCAGGUAUGGACCAAAUUGUUUCCUCCCAUUCCAGUGCCAAAUAGCAAGAUUAAGGAUCUCUUCUUAAGCAACGUCCAUGAGAAAACCAGAUCUGGUGAAACAGAAAUCGAAGUCAUAAGUUAUGUGGAAGACUGUGGAUUGGACAACUUGGAUGAUUCUGUAUUUUGAUAUUCACUGACAUGGUCGGAGGAAAUGCUCUGAACUGUACCAGGAGAGACAGGGAUGGAUGGGCUCUUCCUUUAGGACUCCUGCAUCUCAGAUCAGAUCUUCUGGACCAUCUACUGGACUGUAUCUGUUUAUCUUUUCAACUGGGGCUUGUCAUUCAGACUCUCUCUGGACAUAGCAAGGGGAUCAUGGCAGACAGCCAGGUGCAAGUCAGAUGCUUUCAGGCUUUUGAUGAACAUGUUGCAAAUAUUGUUAUUCACAUCAGAACCAAUCCAGACUUUCCUUUGGUAGGAUUCAGCCAAAGAUCUCAGGAAGAAGCCACGGGCUGGCUUAGUUUCUGUGAAUCUGUCUACGAUGGAUGACAAGCAUGACGUCAAUAGUUCUCUGUCUCAGGUCCUGGGAACUACUUUCUUGUGUGUGUGUACCUAGAAUAAUCUCUUGUAUAGUAAGAAGGAAAUGAAGUGGCAUCCCUUGAGGUUAAUGUAUUAAGUAUAAAUGUAUAUGUUCUGAGAAACUUAUACUAUAGCAAAGAAGAGAGUUUUCCUUGAAGACUGUGUUGUGAAGGGAGCCAUUGGGCUUCAUUGGGCACCAUUUAAACAGGAAUGAAGCUUAUGAGGAAGAGUCAGAAUCCUCAUCCUCACAGAAGUCCUACCUUCUAGGCAAUGUGGGAAUCCCUUUUACUGUAUUUCUUAUAUUUUUGCCGUCUUGAAUUUGGAUGAAGAAAAUGAUGUCCAAAAAAAAAAUGCCAUUAUGAUGCGGUAUCAACUAAUGGUAAGAAAAGCAGAGUAGAGUGGAAAAAUGGGGACUGGGAGUCAGAUGACUUGUUUCCUAGAUUUUCUAUUUACUAUCUGUGUGACCUGGAUGAGUAACCUGAUCCUUUUGGGACUUCAUUCCUCAUCUGUAUUUUUUAUUCAUUAUUUUAAAAUAUUAUUCAUAUUAUGCUUUUUAUUCAAACUUUUCCAACUCUAAAUGUAAUGAUCCUACAAGUGCCAAAGGAAAGGCCAAAGGAAAGGUUAUGGGACCUAGUUUGACCUUAAUAGGGCUUUCAAGAAAGGGUUCAAAAUUGGUUGUUACCUAAUUGUAGUUGUUUUUAGGAACACCAAAAGGACCCUUUGUCUCCAAGAUAUUUUACCUGCUGCUCUAACAAUGAUCCUGGAAAUUUCCACAGUUCCCUUUUUUAGUUAGAUUAAGGCAUGUUGCAAAAGUGAUUUUCCUAAAGUGAUAUUCAACUUUUCAAUGAACUUCAGGGGCUCCCUAUUACCUCUAAGAGUCAAAUAUAAAAUCCCUGAUUUAGCAUUUCAAGUCCUUCACCAUCUGACCAUAGCAUACCUUUCCAGCCUAGUUUGACCUUACUCUCUUUCACACACACUAUAGUUCAACAUUUUUUAAAUUUACAUUUCUUAUUAUUACACUUCCUCCCUCCAUCCCUUUGUACUGACUGUCCCCCAUUUUGGAAUGUAUUUUCUUGAGAGCUCAGCAAUUUAGAAUGUCUGGUUUCCUUUACGAUUCAGCUCCAGUAUCACCUACGUGAAACCUUUCUGAUCACCCCAGCCUCCAUUACCUACCCCUACCACUCCCACUCAUUAUCGGGUAUUGAUUGUAUAUAUCUUUGUAUUAACCUAUAUUAGAUUACAUCUCUCUGACCUAGACUGUAAGCUCCUUGAGGGCAGAGACUCUUUCCCUUGUGCUUUUAACCUCAGCCUAGACCAGUGCCUGACAAAGGAGAUACUUAAUAAAUGUUUGUUAAUUGAUU